GAGCUAAACUUGGCAGCACAUAUCCUAAAAUUGGAACAAUACGGAGAAGAUUAGCAUGGCACUGUGCACGAAUGACAUGCAAAAUCAUGAAGCAUUCCAUAUUUUA
ensembl:snRNA U6 U6 spliceosomal RNA